ACUUUUGUUUCAAAGCUUUUGUCACGUUAAUAUUCGUCGCAUCAUUAGCGAAAACCGGUUGUAAAGCACAUCGAACACAUUGAUACACCGAAACAACACAAAAGAGGGCACUGGGGAGCACAUUUUGUUAUAUUUUUAUUAUAUUUUCUGUCAUACGAUACCGGUUGAGAUGAGAGAGCGUCGUGCGCUCGUAACGGUAGCGCGGGAAGUACU
rnacentral:misc_RNA from 1 species